rnacentral:tRNA from 1 species
AGACUUUUAUCUUAAAUUUAAAGUUUUAGAUUUUUAAUCUAAAGAUUAUAGAGUCUA